rnacentral:misc_RNA from 1 species
AAACUGCGAUAAGUAGUGUGAAUUGCAUUUAGUGAAUCAUCGAAUCUUUGAACGCACCCUGCACUCACUGGUAUUCCGGUGAGUACGCCUGUUUCAGUAUCAUUGAAAACACACAAUCAAAACAUUUUCUUUGGUUUGAUUGGCUUUGGGUCUAUCAAAAAGUUUGGCUUGUUUCUUACAAGCCAAGCGGUCUGAAAUAUAUUGUCUGGCUAAUUGCAUCGUUGAUGAUCGCUAUUAGACUUUGGCUUUUUUAAAUGAACUGGAGGUUGAUUAACCAGUUUUAGCUUUAGUCAAAUGGUCAUUGUAAAAAAAAUCUCGAUCUUGGCUAGGUGUUUAUAGCCGAAAAUUUUUUUUUGGCUAUAACCGAAACCAAUAUAAUCACAUUUAGUUAUCGAUCUGAAAUCAGGUGGGACUACCCGCUGAACUUAAGC